AGUGAACGCUGGCGGUAGGCCUAACACAUGCAAGUCGAACGGCAGCACAGUAAGAGCUUGCUCUUACGGGUGGCGAGUGGCGGACGGGUGAGGAAUACAUCGGAAUCUACUUUUUCGUGGGGGAUAACGUAGGGAAACUUACGCUAAUACCGCAUACGACCUACGGGUGAAAGCAGAGGAUCUUCGGACCUUGCGCGAUUGAAUGAGCCGAUGUCGGAUUAGCUAGUUGGCGGGGUAAAGGCCCACCAAGGCGACGAUCCGUAGCUGGUCUGAGAGGAUGAUCAGCCACACUGGAACUGAGACACGGUCCAGACUCCUACGGGAGGCAGCAGUGGGGAAUAUUGGACAAAGGGCGCAAGCCUGAUCCAGCCAUACCGCGUGGGUGAAGAAGGCCUUCGGGUUGUAAAGCCCUUUUGUUGGGAAAGAAAAGCAGCAGGUUAAUACCCCGCUGUCCUGACGGUACCCAAAGAAUAAGCACCGGCUAACUUCGUG
rnacentral:rRNA from 1 species